rnacentral:rRNA from 1 species
UACGUAGGGGGGCAAGCGUUUGUCCGGAAUCAUUGGGCGUAAAGCGCGCGUAGGCGGCUUUGUAAGUUAGAGGUGAAAGCCCGGAGCUCAACUCCGGAAUUGCCUUUAAGACUGCAUCGCUAGAAUCAUGGAGAGGUGAGUGGAAUUCCGAGUGUAGAGGUGAAAUUCGUAGAUAUUCGGAAGAACACCAGUGGCGAAGGCGACUCACUGGACAUGUAUUGACGCUGAGGUGCGAAAGCGUGGGGAGCAAACAGG